rnacentral:rRNA from 1 species
UACGUAGGGGGCGAGCGUUGUCCGGAUUUAUUGGGCGUAAAGAGCUCGUAGGCGGUUCGAUAAGUCGGACGUGAAAUCUCCACGCUCAACGUGGAGGGGCCGUUCGAUACUGUCGUGACUCGAGUCCGGGAGAGGUGAGUGGAAUUCCUAGUAUAGAGGUGAAAUUCGUAGAUAUUGGGAAGAACACCGAUGGCGAAGGCAGCCAUCUGGACCGACACUGACGCUGAGGCGCGAAAGCGUGGGGAGCAAACAGG